rnacentral:rRNA from 1 species
UACGUAGGGGGCUAGCGUUGUCCGGAAUCAUUGGGCGUAAAGCGCGUGUAGGCGGCCCGGUAAGUCCGCUGUAAAAGUCAAAGGCUCAACCUUUGAAUGUCAGUGGAUACUGCCGGGCUAGAGUCCGGAAGAGGCGAGUGGAACUCCUGGUGUAGCGGUGGAAUGCGCAGAUAUCAGGAAGAACACCCGUGGCUAAGGCGGCUCUCUGGGACGGUACUGACGCUGAGACGCGAAAGCGUGGGGAGCGAACAGG